rnacentral:rRNA from 1 species
AGCAGCUUGCUGCUUCGCUGACGAGUGGCGGACGGGUGAGUAAUGUCUGGGAAACUGCCUGAUGGAGGGGGAUAACUACUGGAAACGGUAGCUAAUACCGCAUAACGUCGCAAGACCAAAGAGGGGGACCUUCGGGCCUCUUGCCAUCGGAUGUGCCCAGAUGGGAUUAGCUAGUAGGUGGGGUAACGGCUCACCUAGGCGACGAUCCCUAGCUGGUCUGAGAGGAUGACCAGCCACGCUGGAACUGAGACACGGUCCAGACUCCUACGGGAGGCAGCAGUGGGGAAUAUUGCACAAUGGGCGCAAGCCUGAUGCAGCCAUGCCGCGUGUAUGAAGAAGGCCUUCGGGUUGUAAAGUACUUUCAGCGGGGAGGAAGGGAGUAAAGUUAAUACCUUUGCUCAUUGACGUUACCCGCAGAAGAAGCACCGGCUAACUCCGUGCCAGCAGCCGCGGUAAUACGGAGGGUGCAAGCGUUAAUCGGAAUUACUGGGCGUAAAGCGCACGCAGGCGGUUUGUUAAGUCAGAUGUGAAAUCCCCGGGCUCAACCUGGGAACUGCAUCUGAUACUGGCAAGCUUGAGUCUCGUAGAGGGGGGUAGAAUUCCAGGUGUAGCGGUGAAAUGCGUAGAGAUCUGGAGGAAUACCGGUGGCGAAGGC